UACAGAGGGUGCGAGCGUUGUCCGGAAUCACUGGGCGUAAAGGGCGCGUAGGCGGCGCGGUAAGCGUGCGGUGAAAGCCCGGGGCUCAACCCCGGGUCGGCCGUGCGGACUGCCGGGCUGGAGCACUGUAGAGGCAGGUGGAAUUCCGGGUGUAGCGGUGGAAUGCGUAGAGAUCCGGAAGAACACCGGUGGCGAAGGCGGCCUGCUGGGCAGUGGCUGACGCUGAUGCGCGACAGCGUGGGGAGCAAACAGG
rnacentral:rRNA from 1 species